GAUCCUGGCUCAGGACGAACGCUGGCGGCGUGCUUAACACAUGCAAGUCGAACGAGAAUCUGUGGAUCGAGGAUUCGUCCAAGUGAAGCAGAGGACAGUGGCGGACGGGUGAGUAACGCGUGAGGAACCUGCCUUUCAGAGGGGGACAACAGUUGGAAACGACUGCUAAUACCGCAUGAUACGUUUUAGGGGCAUCCCUGAGACGUCAAAGAUUUAUCGCUGAAAGAUGGCCUCGCGU
rnacentral:rRNA from 1 species